GACGAACGCUGGCGGCGUGCCUAAUACAUGCAAGUUGAGCGCUGAAGGUUGGUACUUGUCCCAACUGGAUGAGCAGCGAACGGGUGAGUAACGCGUGGGGAAUCUGCCUUUGAGCGGGGGACAACAUUUGGAAACGAAUGCUAAUACCGCAUAAAAACUUUAAACACAAGUUUUAAGUUUGAAAGAUGCAAUUGCAUCACUCAAAGAUGAUCCCGCGUUGUAUUAGCUAGUUGGUGAGGUAAAGGCUCACCAAGGCGAUGAUACAUAGCCGACCUGAGAGGGGGAUCGGCCACAUUGGGACUGAGACACGGCCCAAACUCCUACGGGAGGCAGCAGUAGGGAAUCUUCGGCAAUGGACGAAAGUCUGACCGAGCAACGCCGCGUGAGUGAAGAAGGGUUUCGGAUCGUAAAACUCUGUUGGUAGAGAAGAACGUUGGUGAGAGUGGAAAGCUCAUCAAGUGACGGUAACUACCCAGAAAGGGACGGCUAACUACGUG
rnacentral:rRNA from 1 species